rnacentral:lncRNA from 1 species
CUUUUUAAGUCUUAAAUGCAAAAAAAUAUGUUAAUGUCCGCAUUCGCAAUAGCCUGCAAAAAAUGAGAUGGAGUGGAGCUGAAAUAUUAGAGGGUGCAUAUUUAAAACCUUAACCCUCCCCAUAAAAAAUGUGGGCAAAACAGACAUGUCUGACAGAUCGGACCCAUUUUACCACCUCUAGGUGAAUAUGACAGAUUUUUGAUGGGAGGAUUUUCUAACUACCUUCCUCUUUUUUGAUUUUUUUCCUUUUGUUUUUAC